rnacentral:rRNA from 1 species
AGAGUUUGAUCAUGGCUCAGGAUGAACGCUGGCGGCGUGCUUAACACAUGCAAGUCGAGCGAAGCGGUUUAAAUGAGACUUCGGUGGAUUUUAAACUGACUGAGCGGCGGACGGGUGAGUAACGCGUGGAUAACCUGCCUCACACAGGGGGAUAACAGUUAGAAAUGACUGCUAAUACCGCAUAAGCGCACGGCAUCGCAUGAUGCAGUGUGAAAAACUCCGGUGGUGUGAGAUGGAUCCGCGUCUGAUUAGGUAGUUGGUGGGGUAACGGCCCACCAAGCCGACGAUCAGUAGCCGACCUGAGAGGGUGACCGGCCACAUUGGGACUGAGACACGGCCCAAACUCCUACGGGAGGCAGCAGUGGGGAAUAUUGCACAAUGGGCGAAAGCCUGAUGCAGCGACGCCGCGUGAGUGAAGAAGUAUCUCGGUAUGUAAAGCUCUAUCAGCAGGGAAGAAAAUGACGGUACCUGACUAAGAAGCCCCGGCUAACUACGUGCCAGCAGCCGCGGUAAUACGUAGGGGGCAAGCGUUAUCCGGAUUUACUGGGUGUAAAGGGAGCGCAGACGGCGAUGCAAGUCUGGAGUGAAAGCCCGGGGCUCAACCUGGGCAUUGCAGCGCGAACUGUGAGACUUGAGUGCGCAGGAAGUAGGCGGAAUUCGUCGUGUAGCGGUGAAAUGCUUAGAUAUGACGAGGAACUCCGAUUGCGAAGGCAGCCUGCUGUAGCGCAACUGACGCUGAAGCUCGAAAGCGUGGGUAUCGAACAGGAUUAGAUACCCUGGUAGUCCACGCGGUAAACGAUGGAUGCUCGCUGUUUGCGUCUGACGUAAGCGGCCAAGCGAAAGCGUUAAGCAUCCCACCUGGGGAGUACGCCGGCAACGGUGAAACUCAAAGGAAUUGACGGGGGCCCGCACAAGCGGAGGAACAUGUGGUUUAAUUCGAUGAUACGCGAGGAACCUUACCCGGGCUUGAACUGUAGGCGAACGAUUCAGAGAUGAAGAGGCCCUUCGGGGCGCCUAUGGAGGUGCUGCAUGGUUGUCGUCAGCUCGUGCCGUGAGGUGUCGGCUUAAGUGCCAUAACGAGCGCAACCCUUGUUCGUAGUUGCCAUCGGUUAAAGCCGGGCACUCUGCGAAGACUGCCUCCGUAAGGAGUGAGGAAGGUGGGGAUGACGUCAAAUCAGCACGGCCCUUACGUCCGGGCUACACACGUGUUACAAUGGCAUGUACAGAAAGCUGGGUGUAUGCAAAUACGCUCGAAUCCCUAAAACAUGUCUCAGUUCGGACUGGGGUCUGCAACCCGACCCCACGAAGCUGGAUUCGCUAGUAAUCGCGCAUCAGCCAUGGCGCGGUGAAUACGUUCCCGGGCCUUGUACACACCGCCCGUCAAGCCAUGAAAGCCGGGGGCGCCUAAAGUCCGUGACCGCGAGGGUCGGCCUAGGGUGAAACCGGUGAUUGGGGCUAAGUCGUAACAAGGUA